AAUCCUUUGACUGUACUGUUUUAUCAAAAGCCUUAAUGAUGGUUCAGGAGAUUGAGGAGCUGGAUCUUGACAAUUGUGGGAUAGGAAAUGAGGGUAUCCACUAGCUGGAGUCAGUGUUACGGAAAUGUGAGGUACUCAGUUUAAAAAGCAACAAUCUCACAGACGGCUGUGUGGAAAUCCUAAUCUCUGCUCUCCGUGAAAAUACUGUGUUGUUAAAACUGGACAUCAGCAAUGAUGAUCAAAAUGAUGACAAUGCCAACAGGCUGACAGAUAAAUCAAUUAAUGAACUGUCCCAGUUCAUUCAGAAUAGCACACAAAUGAAAGAAAUCAGGUUGAUGAACAAUCAAUUCUCUGAGGAAGGACUGCAAAGAUUGAAGUCGAUUCCAGUAUCAAAUGAUUUAACUGUAAUAAAAGAAUGAAGGAGGCUGAAUGAAUUAUUUUCUAUGAUUUGAUUCGCGUUGUGCAGGAUGCUUAUUACAAUCAAUCCUUUCAUGAAACUUUAUUUCUGGAUUUGUACAAUAGACUGGAAUAGCCUGUGUGAAAAAGCAAAAGAUAUGAAACUAACUCUCUCACCAACUCCUCCCUCACUUGCAGGAACCCAAAGAGCCCUGAGAGCGAAUCAUUAAUAUUUUUUGCUCUUUUUGUAAAUGUUUUUAGACUUUGCACACAGUUCGUUAAUACACCUCUUGGAAAUUUUGGGGCAUAAUAUUAUUAUGCACCAGUCCAGACCACCAUUCAAAAAGAUAGACAAGACCCAAACCUUUCUGGUUGUUUUAAUUAGGUAUAAGUUGACAUUCCGGGAGUGAUGUAGCUGGCCCAAUCACUCAGUUUUAAACAAAAAUACUGUAUUUACACAUGAUCAAAAGAAAACCAAAGUUAGAGUAACAUAAAUAUUUGAAAACUCCAUUGACUCUAUCAGAACCUAAUGAUGCAGUUCCAAAUACCUGCAAAAUCCCAUUAACACACCUUGGCAAGCACAUCAAUUGAAAUGAAGGUUCUUCUGGGAGAAAUAUCAGAGAGAGAGGAUCAAUACGGACCUGUUUCCUUGCAUCUAGCACCUUCUCCGGGUUCCCAACUAAGACUUGACCAGCAGCUGCAAACAGCUGCAAAUCAAACCAUCCUGUAAAUAGCAAACGAAACCAAACCCUGAACUGUGAGAAUUGGGCACUUCCCUUUGAUUGUACAAGUAUUAAAAAUAAACACUUAAAGCUUAAUCAAUAAAAUAUCUCAGACAUAUAAGAGCCACAGCUUUUAUUCUCACCCCCGGAAAAAAAAAAACAAGACAGAAUAAAUGUGUUAAUGGAGCAGCGUCAUCACAUGUUCCCCUCUCUCCAUCAUGCCUUAUAAAAGUGAACCAUAAAUAUCCAAAGAUGGCUUCAUUUUAAAACCCCUUAACCUUAAAUUGUUAGUAAACUAUAACACAUAUAUAUUGACCAGAGUAUAAUCAUGCACACGUAGACUACUACAUUGUCUUUCAGUCCAUCUACUCCUGCCACGGAACACUUCUGUUUCUCAUUCAAGUCUCGACAAUGCAUGGUCAGCACAUUUUCUCACCCUUCCACGUGCAAUUUUUUUCAAAUCGAAUGGCUUUAACAACAAGCUCCAAAAAAAUCAUCUGGCAUUUUUGUCCUUAAAUUUCUCUACUCACUUCAAUAGGUUAUGAUCAGUGUAUAAUUGUCUCAGAUACAUUACUGGUAACAUAAAUAUUGGAAUUUUGUAACGUCAACUGUCAAAUAUUUCUGCUUAUGCAUGUUCAAUUUCGUAUUGAAAUGCUUGAUUGGUCUUUCUAUCUUCUCAGAGUCCUCUUAAAACAGCAAAGUACCAAUACCCACAUCACUAACAUCGAUAGCCACCUCCAAUUGACUUUACAUAAUUAGGUGUGGCUAAUACUCGGGUAGUGGUUAACACAGCUUCCAGUCUGUCAGGUGCCUUCUGACUGUCCACUGCCCACUGAGACUUCUUGUUGUCCUUUGGCAAUACAGUGAGUUGAACAGCCACACUGCGAAAAUUUUGUACAAAUUUCUGAUAAAAUUCACUCAAUCCCAGGAAUCAUAGAACUUCUGUUUUUUUGUUGUUGAUGGUAUGGGAAAUUCACCAUUGAUCUUUGUUUUUGCAUUCCAUGAGGCUAUUUGUCAAUAUCCAAUAGCAUCGUCCAGGAAGGUGAAUUGGGCUUUGGCAAAAUCACUCUUAGCGAAGUUUAUUACCAAACCUGUGUCUCAAAGUCAAUCGAACAAGUCUGAUAAAUAUUGCAAAUGUUGAUUCCAUGUGCGACCAAAAAUCACCAGGUCAUCAAUAUGUACUAUACAAUUGGGUAAUCUGGAAAUGCCCUUAUUGCUUAGUCUUUGAAAUGUAGCUGAUGCGUUUUUCUUACCAAAUAACAUGACUGAUACAGUCCAUUCAGCGUUAGGAAAGCUGAAACUGGCUUCGACUUUCGGACAAAAUUACCUGCCAGUAUCCUCUGAGCAAGUCCAACUUAGAGAUAUAAGUUGCUUAUCUCACGUUUUCAACACUGUCUUUCAAACACGGAAUCAGAUAAGCAUCAGUCUUUGUUGAUGUUGUGAUAGUCCACAUAAAUUCGUUUGGUGCAAUUUGAUUUUGGAACCAUUACAUUAGAUGAGCUCAACUCACUUUAAAUCAUUUUGAUUAUGUCGUGUUUUAGCACGUGUUCAAUUUGAGCCAACCUUAGAGAGUUAUGCCUAUAAAGACGUUGCUGAAUCAGAGCAGACAUCCAAUGGCUACAUUUUUCCAAUAUUUCAAAAUACCUCCCAAUGUAAUAGAAGUAACUCUUUCAGGUCAAUUUGAUUUUCCUCUGGUAGGUAACUCGAUAAUUUAUCUCAAUUUUUGACAACUUCCUCAUUGUCCAAUUUAAUUUUACGAAUGUCCAAUUCAGAAUUCACUCUGUGUUGUAAUCAGUAACACAAUCUUCUUUUGCUUAUCUUCCCUGCCAACAUAUCUUUUCAACACAUUCAUAUGGCACACUCGGUGAGAUUCCUUUCUGUCCAGAGUCCUUAUCAAAAUAGUUCACCUCACUCAAUUACCUUUGGACUUGACUGGGUCCAGUAAACCUUGCUUUUAAAGGUUCACCCAACACUGCAAGUAACACUCACCCCCUGAUCUCCGAAAGCAAAAAUGUGAGUUAUUUAUUUGUCUAUUUCCUGAUUCAUUGUACUUUUUGACACAUUUGAAUGCUGUCUAACCAACUUAUUCACUCUUUAUACCAGUUCCCUAAAAUUUGACACAUUGUCCAAAUCUCUGAUUUCUGACUUACCAACUUCUCCUGAAUCACGGUAAACAAUCCUCACUUCAUGCUCAAAAUCUAAUUCAAAUGGACUGAAUUUGGUUAAUUCAUUUGAUGCAACUUUGAUGACACAAAUUACAAACAGAUUUGUCUUUUAUCCCAGUCAUCUGGAUUGUCUUGCUUAUAGGUUCUCAACAUGGUCUGUAAUGUCUAAGGCCACGAUUCCAGUGCUCAGUGCAAGUCUGGAUGGUAUGCAGUACAUUUGAAUUGUUUUAUUUGUAAGCUGUCCAUAAGUUCCUUGAAUAAUUGUUUCCUUGGUGUGAACUUUGGCCCUUGAUCUGGUUGUAUCUCUGUAAGUUGUCCAUAUCUCAUGAAAAAAAUUGAAUAAUUCCACUACAAUCCUUUUAGCUGUGAUAAUGCAGAAUUGAAUGGCUUCUGGAAAUCGAGUGAGCGCAUUAAUUAUUGUUAACAAGCACUGAUUUUCCUACUUUUUGCUUUAAGAACGAUUCCUACGUUAUCAAUUAAGAUUAUUAAAUGCAGAAAUAAAGGUGCGGGUUUUAUUACUG